rnacentral:rRNA from 1 species
AUUGAACGCUGGCGGCAGGCCUAACACAUGCAAGUCGAGCGGAUGAGUGGAGCUUGCUCCAUGAUUCAGCGGCGGACGGGUGAGUAAUGCCUAGGAAUCUGCCUGGUAGUGGGGGACAACGUUUCGAAAGGAACGCUAAUACCGCAUACGUCUUACGGGAGAAAGCAGGGGACCUUCGGGCCUUGCGCUAUCAGAUGAGCCUAGGUCGGAUUAGCUAGUAGGGGAGGUAAUGGCUCACCUAGGCGACGAUCCGUAACUGGUCUGAGAGGAUGAUCAGUCACACUGGAACUGAGACACGGUCCAGACUCCUACGGGAGGCAGCAGUGGGGAAUAUUGGACAAUGGGCGAAAGCCUGAUCCAGCCAUGCCGCGUGUGUGAAGAAGGUCUUCGGAUUGUAAAGCACUUUAAGUUGGGAGGAAGGGCAGUAAGUUAAUACCUUGCUGUUUUGACGUUACCAACAGAAUAAGCACCGGCUAACUUCGUGCCAGCAGCCGCCGUAACAC